rnacentral:rRNA from 1 species
CCUACGGGCGGCAGCAGUGAGGAAUAUUUGUCAAUGGGCGUAAGCCUGAACCCGCCAAGUCGCGUGAGGGAUGAAGGUUCUAUGGAUCGUAAACCUCUUUUAUAAGGGAAUAAAGUGUGGGACGUGUCCUGUUUUGUAUGUACCUUAUGAAUAAGGAUCGGCUAACUCCGUGCCAGCAGCCGCGGUAAUACGGAGGAUCCGAGCGUGAUCCGGAUUUAUUGGGUUUAAAGGGUGCGUAGGCGGCCUUUUAAGUCAGCGGUGAAAGUCUGUGGCUCAACCAUAGAAUUGCCGUUGAAACUGGGAGGCUUGAGUAUGUUUGAGGCAGGCGGAAUGCGUGGUGUAGCGGUGAAAUGCUUAGAUAUCACGCAGAACCCCGAUUGCGAAGGCAGCCUGCCAAGCCAUGACUGACGCUGAUGCACGAAAGCGUGGGGAUCAAACAGGAUUAGAUACCCGGGUAGUC